UACGAAGGGGCUAGCGUUGUUCGGAAUUACUGGGCGUAAAGCGCGUGUAGGCGGGUCUUUAAGUCAGGGGUGAAAUGCCAGGGCUCAACCUUGGAACUGCCUUUGAUACUGGAGACCUUGAGUCCGGGAGAGGUGAGUGGAAUUGCGAGUGUAGAGGUGAAAUUCGUAGAUAUUCGCAAGAACACCAGUGGCGAAGGCGGCUCACUGGCCCGGAACUGACGCUGAGACGCGAAAGCGUGGGGAGCAAACAGG
rnacentral:rRNA from 1 species